GUUGCUGUAUGUUGUCGAACUGCUUUGCUUUGUCUUGGCCAGGUCGCAAUUGUAAAUGAGAACUUGUUCUCAACUUGCCUACAUGGUUAAAUAAAGGUGAAAUAAAUAAAUAAAUAAAAUAAAUAUGCUGCCCAGUCCCAUCUCAUGACUACAAUACACACAGUAGUGUGCGUAGAUAGCAACCCCAUAGUAAGUCAAUAGGGCUAUAAUAAUGACUAGCCAUCUAGUCAUCUCCCUUGCAUUACAUUAGAUGUAGGUUGUUUUUGCCUGUUAAACUUGCUGGUUCGCUAGAUUAUUACGAUUCCCAUAUAGCUAGCUGAUAAUUAUGAAGUUCUAAGUUUGUUUAUGUGGCUCUCUUGUCAUCUGGGUUACCAUUAGCAUGGCUGGCAGCAGGUUGGAGUGAAUAGGCAGUACGACACAGGGCAUAGUCGUGAGGUGAUUGAUGAACGCGUGUAGUCUCCCGCCCUCUCACUUAAAAAAAAACUUCUAGCUGAACCUCCUCCAGAGGGAGUUCCUCCCACUGUGGCCCGUCUAGCUGCCCUCCUCCAGAGGGAUGUUCUCCCACUGUCUCCCGUCUAGCUGCCCUCCUCCAGAGGGAUAUCCUCCCACUGUCUCCCGUCUAGCUGCCCUCCUCCAGAGGGAUUUCCUCCCACUGUCGCCCGUCUAGCUGCCCUCCUCCAGAGGGAUGUUCUCCCACUGUGGCCCGUCUAGCUGCCCUCCUCCAGAGGGAUUUCCUCCCACUGUCGCCCGUCUAGCUGCCCUCCUCCAGAGGGAUUUCCUCCUAGCCGUUGGGGUGUGUGUGUGUGUGUGUGUAUCAUCCAGAUGGUUAUCUGUAUCGUAGCUAGAUUCAGGUUAUAUUUGCAUGUUUUCCCAGGGUUGACAGAGUCCCUGCAGGCUGUGUAUUAACUCAUGGAUCAUGAAAAGUGAUGUGAUAGCUAGCUAACUUGCUAAAUAACCAUUAUGAUCAGUGAUAACCUAUUAGGUACUGCACUAGCAACUUGCUUUUUACUAGUAGACUCAUCAUCUAUGGCGCCUUCUCCCGCUAGAAUGAACUUGGUGCAUCUUCUAUCAAUCUAAUUGAUAGGAAAGGCGCAGUCACAAGGUGAACGAUGACAGGAAAACACGUCUACACGUCCGGUAUCUGGGUGUGUGUGUGUGUGUGUGUGUGUGUGUGUGUAGUGUGUGUUGUGUGUGUGUAGUGUGUGUGUAGUGUGUGUGUAGUGUGUGUAGUGUGUGUGUGUGUGUGUGUGUAGUGUGUGUAGUGUGUGUAGUGUGUGUGUGUGUAGUGUGUGUGUGUACACUGUGGUUACAGUCACGUGUUUUUACACAGAGGCAGAGAGCAGGAUGAUCCUUCAACGUCUUUGUAUUUUGCGUGUUUCAUAUGCAGCCAGCGAGUGGUAGCGUAUAGGCUAUUUACCGUGCUUUGACAGACUGAAUGAAGCUGGACCAGGUUUAUAAAAGGUGUGGAACAGACUGAAUAAAGCUGGACCAGGUUUAUAAAAGGUGUGGAACAGACUGAAUAAAGCUGGACCAGGUGAUUAAAAGGUGUGGAACAGACUGAAUGAAGCUGGACCAGGUUUAUAAAAGGUGUGGAACAGACUGAAUGAAGCUGAUGUCGUCUAUCCUUGCCAUUCAUAAAUCAUUCAUACAGUAUGUCCAUGGUAUCGCGUCAGGACAACUAAAGAGCUCGUUUGUUUCCAUCAGGACUUCCCAGACAGUGACUCGUCAGUAGUCUGCCGCAUCAGUAAGAGAGACGUUCAUUUGGCUUCCUAAUUUGUAUACUGGUAGGGGCUUUUCUGCAGAUAAAUGACGAAAAUAUUAAAAUGAACCUGGUGAAUCAUUCUCACUGCACGAACAAUAGGGUAGAGGCUAUUGUUCGUCAUUCUGGUUCAAAAUAUGACAAAAGAAAAAACAGAUUGUAUUGAUAAAAGGCCAACUGAUGUAAUCAAUGUGCUGGUUUCAGUGUAGCAAAGCCCCAUAUUUAACACCUGCUUCCUUCUUCAAAUCACACCUGUAUUUCAGGAUGCCGUGGACGUCAACAGACUCUUACAUGACGACAUAUUAAAAAAAAAAAAGUAGUUCUGGAAUACAAAAAUCAACGGUUUACCCGAUAUGAAUGAAAAUACCCUCCAAUUAAAGCUGACAGUCUGCACUUUAACCUCAUAGUCAUUGUUUGGUUUCAAAUCCCAAAGUGCUGGAGUACGGAGCCAAAACAUCCAUAAAAGGUGUCACUGUGCCAAAACUUUUGGAGCUCACUGACAAAGGCUAACUUUCCGAACCUUCCCAACAAUACAGAGAGAAAGAAAACAGAUGUAAUAAAAAGGUAAAAAACGUAAUAAUAAUUACACAAUGAUAACUAGGUUAUAUACACAGGGUACCAGUACUGAGUAAUGAUAACUAGGUUAUAUACACAGGGUACCAGUACUGAGUAAUGAUAACUAGGUUAUAUACACAGGGUACCAGUACUGAGUAAUGAUAACCAGGCUAUAUACACAGGGUACCAGUACUGAGUCCAUGAUAACUAGGCUAUAUACACAGGGUACCAGUACUGAGUCAAUGAUAACUAGGUUAUAUACACAGGGUACCAGUACUGAGUAAUG
rnacentral:lncRNA from 1 species